rnacentral:rRNA from 1 species
UACGAAGGGGGCUAGCGUUGCUCGGAAUCACUGGGCGUAAAGCGCACGUAGGCGGGUCUUUAAGUCAGGGGUGAAAUCCUGGAGCUCAACUCCAGAACUGCCUUUGAUACUGAGGAUCUCGAGUCCGGGAGAGGUGAGUGGAACUCCGUGUGUAGAGGUGAAAUUCGUAGAUAUUGGGAAGAACACCGGUGGCGAAGGCGGCUCACUGGCUCGUAACUGACGCUCAUGCACGACAGCGUGGGGAUCAAACAGG